GCGGGCGUAGCUCAAUGGUAGAGCACGAGCUUCCCAAGCUUGUGACGAGGGUCCGAUUCCCUUCGCCCGCU
rnacentral:tRNA from 1 species